UUGCCUACGUAUCAUGUCCCUCAUGAAUCAGACCAAUGUAGGUUGCGUACGUAUCAUGUCCCUCAUGAAUCAGACCAAGCAUAGUUCUUGAAAAGUAAUGGAUAAAUUAAACUAAAAAAAUAAAAGUCUUUUUGGAUUAUUCAUUUACAACUUUUUUUUUAUUUUCAAAACAAAAACAGGAAAUAUGAUAAUGAGAGACUCAACUCAACUAUACUACGACAAACUCCGACACCAACUAAAAGAAUCAUUGCUACUGGACAUGACUAUAAAGUACAAGACAACAUAAAAAAGAAACAGAAUCAAAAUAUAAAAAAUUUCUCCUUAAGGAACUCCUGAAUGCAAUGGUCCUGACCUAACGGUCCUGGGGUAUUUGUCAUGCACAAACUCCGGUAUGUAGAUUAACACCUGUAUAACAAAACUAAAGCCAAAUAGAGUUAAGGAUUUAGAACACUAUAUGACACAAUAACACUCCCUGUUGGACACAUGCAAGACAUGAUCGUGCAAAAUAGCCUACGUGGCCAAAAGGCGGCUAGAAGUGCAAACUCAACAAAGGUGACCUCUAAGACAUGGAAAAAUUACUUUUGCAGAAAUGUCCAAUUUUGUAGAAAUGGUCAAUGUGGCCAAAAAUGGCUAAGCAUGCAAAUUCAACAGAAUGGCCCUUAAACAUAGAGGACACAUUGUUGUGGACCUAGGACUCUAAGACAUGGGUUAAUUGAACCACUUUUGCGAAAAUAACCCUAUUUUGCAAAAUGGUCUAUGUAGCCAAAAGCGGUAGACAUGCAAAUUUUGGCUAAGACCCCGUGAAGCCAAGUACCUAAGACUCACUAAGAAGACCGAACCCUAUGUGGGUUGCCUACGUAUCACGCCCCGAAAGAUGAAAAUCAGGUAUGUGUAGUUCGGGAAAAUUGGGAUACGGGCGAGAAUUAAAAAAAUAACUAAUUUAGAGAAAAUAUAUUUUUUGUGUUUUGUUUUGAAAAAUGAUGAAACAUGUAAACUCUUUUUGGAUUUUCUUUUUCUUCUUUUGCUUAUUUUUUUUUUUGAAAAAAAAUAAUGGGAAAGUUCAAAAUCUUUUUGGUUAUUCAUUUUCAUUUUUUUUUGUUUUUGGUCUUUUCUUGAAAAAGCGUGAAAGAAAAUUAUAACUGGGCCUUACUUGCUUUAUUUUACACUUCAUACUCUUUUCUUUCUCAUUUUCCUUCAACCCACACUGAUCCGCCAAAUGACCUCUUUCACCUUUGAAGAAGGUAACAUAUAGCGCAUAAGAUGCAUCAAGAUGGUCUUUUAUUUUUGGGUACACCUGUCCUAGACGGAUCCAACCCCUCUGUUGAGUCCCGAAAGUCAAAUGUACAUGAUCCAAAUAAGCAUUCCUGCUAGGGAUCCGAUAUGAGGCUGAGUUAUUCUAGGUUUAUAACUUGGGUGUAUUGUUCUAGACUUGGUGUAUCCGAGUGGAUAACUCGAGCCGGGCGGGGCUACGUACUGGGAACCAAAAGGCCAUCCGUCUUUGUAACUUGUCUGAGCCUCUUUCUAAUUCAAGGUAUGAUACUAACAGAAAAGAAGUCACGUCAGCAUGCACUUCCCCGAAGAUGAGAAGAGUAGGGUUUCGUAGCAGUUUAUACACAAUUCAAAUAAUAUCAAAGCGGUAAAAAGCGGCAUUUAGCACAUUAGGCCCAAACAUAUAAUAAACCAAAUAAUAAAUAAAGUCAAAUAUAACAAUUAUUCUAAGCUCGAAUUCUUGAACCCUAAACGAGAAGUUCUGGGUUCUUGUCCCCAGCAGAGUCGCCAAAGCUGUCACACCUCCUUUUUUUACACCCCCGGAAGGGGGUAUAGGGAGUUUUUUCCAAUUUAAGUGACAAUCGGAAAAGGAUUAUUUAUAUUAAAUUCAGAGUCGCCGCUUGGGAUAAUUUAUGGUGUCCCAAGUCACCNNNNNNNNNNNNNNNNNUUGACUNUGUUUUACAAUCCGCAAACACAGAAAUCCGGGUAAGGAACUCUGUUAACCCAAGAGAAGGUGUUAGGAAUUCCCAGGUUCAGUGCUUUUAGCACGGUUGCUCAACUAUUAUUAUUGGCCUAAUUAUCUGAGUAAUACACAUUUAAAACCUACAUGUAUUUUUAACUUUUUAACCACUUUUAAUUUUUUAUGGAAUUAUUCAGGAACAAGUUACGAUUAUCAUACACUUGUUUGUUUGGUACACAUUGCGAAUCGUAUCACGGGAACCGUACCCACGAUCUACAACAUGUUUAAUUUAUUAACAAGAUUAAAUUGUGGCUAGAUCACAUAAAUGUACCCUCGAAUUUUAGAAAUUAAGCAUCACGACUACGUCACGGGAAUCGUACCCGCAGCUAUGACAGCUUAUUUAACCAACAUGCCUAAAGCAAACUACGAGAGUUCAAGGCAUUUUUCUACAUUAGUUAAGAUAUUAGGGUAAGGGCCAUAGACUAUGUGAUUGGAUGGCACGCCUCAAUUUACCUCAAAAGAUUUGCAUUCAACUAAAGCGAAUUAUGGAUGUUCAUAUUUAAAACUAAUUUGAAAUUAGGUAUCACAACUACGCCACGGGAACCGUACCCAUAGUUGUGGUGAUUUAACUACGUACCUAAAACAAACUACGAAUGUUCAUGAAACAUUGUCCUAAACUAAUUCGAAAUUAUUGCAAGGCAGGAGUUAUGGAUAAAAAUCAUUGGAAAUAUAAUGAAUUAUUUAUGCAAUGUAAGUUAACCUAUAAAAGAAAUAUUGUUAGCUACCUUAUCUAUUAUUCUGUUAAAAGAAAGAUCUAAACUUCAAUUCAAUUCUAGUCGGUCCAUACGGCGCAAGCAGAUCCAAACAAACACAUAAGAAGAGAAAAAUAAAAUAAACUAACAAAGUAGUCAACUGGAGUAGGGUAAGAACACGUCCUUCGAAGUGUACUUUCAUGCCAACGCACAUCAGUAUCGUGCGAAUCCAUCCCCUAAUAGCUUACACAUUCCAAACAUGCAUAAAAAUCUAGAAACAAAAGUGAGUCUAUUAUGGACAGGGAUCAAUUAUUCAGAACUUUAAAUGGCUAAAAUCAAGGGAGCUUGCAACUGAAUAGUCACACUUUUAAAUCAUCAAAACAUUUGGUUAUCCUCACAAAUAUAACACCAUAUUAUCCAAUGCCUCUGUUUCCUUAAGAUUCUUAGCAGCUACAAUUAAUGGAAUAUGCUAUCAAUUUUCUAAUGCUUCAUAAAUUGCCUCUUUCUCAUUUGGAAAUUGAGAAAUUGAGUUCAAUGUACAUAAAAAUAAAGCUAAGUGAAUAUUAUGUUUUCUUCAAAUGUGCAAGAAGAAAAAAAUCUUUCAACAAAACUGAAAUGCUUAACAAGAUUAAGUUAACAAGACUUAAUUUGAACAAGAUUCAGUACUUUUUGCCUAGAUCUGUUAGAUCCAGUAGGUAUUGCUCUAUUAUUUCAGUCUUUUAAGGUUUGUUUCUCCGCUCCCAAAAUAAUUAAAAUACCAACAUUUAACAUGAAAUCUAGCUUUAGAUAAUGCUCCAAUAAAUAUGUGCAAUCAUUGCCGUAUUUUUUUAAAAGAAAAUACUUCAAGAAAUGGAGUAAUCUAGCCGAACCAAAUUGACCAAUCUAUGCAGACCAAACAAAAAAUAAUCUAUGAUUCUGAAUACAAUAUCUAAAAAUCACCAAAGCAAAUGCACUAACCAAUAAGAAAAGCUCUGCACCCAUGAGAAGCCGUGAACAAAAUAGCUGACUAAUAUUAGAAAUCUGUGAUGGGCGAAAUAAAUCAUCACCUUGAUUGAGGAAAUCAGCAAGAAAUUGGCAAUGGAAAAUCAGAAAUAGAAAUCGCCACUUUAGUAGCUAAUGUCGAUGGUCUAGGGUUUUGGGAGUAGGCUACCAUUUUUGCUUUUUCUCGAGAUAUUUUUUUUUUUGCUAGGUCUAGGUCUCCAUGAAGAAGCACAAGCUUAGCUUCCAAAAUCAAUGAAAAACGGCUCAUUCAUUCCGCCCCUCCCCCCCUC
rnacentral:lncRNA from 1 species